UACGGGGGGGGCAAGCGUUGUUCGGAAUUACUGGGCGUAAAGGGCUCGUAGGUGGCCAACUAAGUCAGACGUGAAAUCCCUCGGCUUAACCGGGGAACUGCGUCUGAUACUGGAUGGCUUGAGUUUGGGAGAGGGACGCGGAAUUCCAGGUGUAGCGGUGAAAUGCGUAGAUGUCCGGAGGAACACCGAUGGCGAAGGCAGCUCUCUGGCCUCUUUACUGACGCUGAGGUGCGAAAGCGUGGGGAGCGAACGGG
rnacentral:rRNA from 1 species